CAGGAGAUGGAGGUUUCAGUGAGUUGAGAUCGCGCCACUGCACUUCAGCCUGGGCGACAGAGCGAGACUGUCUCAAAAAAAAAAAAGAAUAUUUAUAGAAAAUGCAGUUAACAUACUGUGUUCUCUUCUUUGACAAUUAACAACCGUCAAAUAUUUUUUGUUUGGUUUAUUUUUGACCUAUUCUAUAAAGAAAUUUCCUAAUACCUUUGUAUUAAUUAUUGGUAUAAACCCUAAUUGGUUGUAUUAUAUAAUUACUAUAUUAACAUACUGUUACGUUUUAUUUAUUAAUCUUAAAUAUUUUAGGAAUCUAACAUUUAUAUCCAUAAGUAAGGGUCUAUAGCUUUUUUGGGAGUGUUAUUUCUGACAGGUUUUGAUAUUAGAUGUGUUCUGUCUUCAUAAAUAAAUUGGGUAGUUUUCCAUCUUUUUCUAUGUUCAGAACAGUUCCUGCUUUCUAUUCAUUUUGACAGAUAAACACUGUAUAAUAGAGAUGACAAAAAAGAGAAUGCAAAUCUGCACAGAUUAUUUUGCCUCAGUAACUCUGCCACUUUCAUAGCUGGAGUACAGCCUUGAUUGUGAAAAAGAAAUUUGGAGCAGUAGGAGGGUCAAACAGGCCAUUAUUUUGGUGUUGAAGAGUGUGGCUGGCUGGGCAGGCACAGAGAUGAGUGAAGGUGGGCCUGGGGAGGGAGGCAAGCGCUGAGGGAGGAGGGGAGCACAGUAGAAGAUGCCAAGAGGUUUUCAAUGGGCUAGAGGUGUUUAAACAAGGACAAAAGAACAAGAUAAGGUGGAAGAAUUGGGCCUGAAAGCGAGGAAAGCCAGGGGGAUAAGUGGGAGCAUUAUCUGGGAGUGGGUACCUCUUUCUUCCAGAAAGUCUCCAGUGCUCUGGCCUAUUGGUCAUUGGCUCCUGUUGGAGAAAGUAACAUUAUUUCUCACCCAGGGUAUUUGCCCUUCUGUCCCACCAUUUCCCUAUCUUCAUCUCAGCCAAGGCAAAAGUCCCAUAGUAUAACAGUGAUUCACACACUUCUGGGCCCAAAAACUCAGCAUGCAGAGCAGAGCAAAGCAGAACAUAAUGUAGACUUCACCAACUUUGACUUAACGCCUAGGGACAGGACCUGUUCAAGGCGCUCUAUUUCUCUUCAUUCCUUCCCUUCUUGCUCCUCUACAACUCAUGUAGACAGACCCACGGUUACAUGCUGUGUUUUAUGGCACAGGAAAGUGCUAUAGAAAAGGCUGAGAGCAACGUGGUAUGGAGUUACUGAGAACUGUUCAGCAUGAUGCUAGCCACAAUGCCGAGGCCAUUUGGAAUGAAAAGACAAAGACAGCACAGACCAAAGAAAUUCAGCCCAUGUAAACUUACUUUAGGGUCAGUCAGAAAUUCUAGGUUCUUUUUACAUGAAUCCUUUAGAAAAUUACUUUAACUGAUGGCAAAACUGACAUUAUUGUUUUAUAGAUUGUCCUCUCUCCCUGUCACCCAUGAUGGGUUAGUUAACAACCAACAGAGCAGCUACCUGCUUGACAUCAGGAGUGAGAUGCCAGGAGCACAGAUGGUCCACAAUCUAGACAAUUAGCUUCUAAAGAAGAAAAAACAUCUAACAAGUCUUCUGUGAAUGUAGAGUUUGGCUGGGCACAACUAGGGCAGAGAACAAGCAGACCUCCUCAACAACUCUUUCUUUUACCUCUUAAAAUGCCAGUGAAAGUGGGGCCUGAGCCACUGCCCCCGGCAAAAACAGCACUUUAACUCUGUGACCUUCC
rnacentral:lncRNA from 10 species